CUUUCCAACGGUGUUGUGUUCUACGUUUUCGCCUGCUAUUGUUUUCUUUUUCUUUUCAUGCCAUCAACAGCAGGCAAUGCAACACCAACAGUCACUGCAAAAAUAGGCACUGCAAAAACAGGCACUGGAACAACACGCACUGGAACGACACGCACUGGAACAACGCGCACUGCAACAACAGGCAUUGCAACACCAACAGGCCUUACGGCAUCAACAAACUGCGACGCACCACAGUGGCUAACCGGGGUCGGCCGGAAUUUCACCCAGUUACCAUUAUACUGCCAAUACACAGCCUCGUAGCUCAGGGGUAAUAUUCUAAUCAUUAUUUUUUUAACCUUCUUCUCUUGUCUUGUUUCAUAAUUCAGGGAUCGAUGCUGAUGACAAAGGCGAAGUUUCCUUCCCUGUUAAGUCGGACUAUUGUGGUGGAGUUCUGUCGACUUUCUUCUUGAAAAUGACACUUUGACGAAAUAGGAGUAAUCGUAGUAUCUCUUAACUUUUAUGCCAUGGUAGAAUCUUUGAUCUUCAUUCAUGCACUACAUAAUCAACCAGUAUGAUAUAUUUCAGCCGACUAUGAGAAAAUGCACCAAAGCAUCAGUUUUUUCAAUCGAGACAUUCUUAUGUGGUUGAACCAUGGCUGACGUUCACUAGGUUCAUAUGAACCUAUGGUUUCUAAAACAGCUUCUACUUUUCUCCCAUUUAUUUUUUACAAUUUUUCAAGCAGCAACCUUUUGACACUGCUGACGUUCGGCAAAACUCUUCAUUCGAGCUUCGUUUUCGGGGCGGAAGUGCCGGAUGAGACCUUGAACGGGCCAAGCAGCACCGUCUCCCAAAGCACAAAUUGUAUGGCCUUCAAUUUGCUUGCUUAGCUCCCAUAGCAUAUCGAUUUCUUCUGGUUUGGCGUUACCCUCAACUACGAAAAAUUGAAAUCCAUUGAUACAGAAAGCGAUUAGAAAAAACGAAUAAAUAGAUAACAUUUUAUAAUUAUUUUGCCACGUUCUUACCAAAUCGAUACAUGAUUUUGUUCAUCCAUCCGGUACCUUCGCGACAAGGUGUGCACUGGCCACAAGAUUCGUGCUUGUAAAAUUCAAUAAGACGAGCGAUGGCUCGGAUGACGUCAGUCGGCUUGUU